CUGGUUAGCUACGUUCGGAAGGGAUAACCGCUGAAAGCAUCUAAGCGGGAAGCCUGCUUCAAGAUGAGGUUUCCAACCCACCACGCGUGGGGAGAGACUCCCAGAAGAACACUGGGUAGAUAGGCCAGACGUGUAAGCAUAGCAAUAUGUUCAGCCUACUGGUACUAAUAGUCGACAACUAAAAACAA
rnacentral:ncRNA from 1 species